ACAAUGAUACUUCUGCCCAGCCACAGCCCCUUUCCUUUUUCGGAACAGGGAUCACGCAAUGGGGGCAGCCCGGUGAGAACCACGGGGAGGUUAGAUUCCUAUGG
rnacentral:ncRNA from 1 species